GGGCCCGCACAAGCGGCGGAGCAUGCGGAUUAAUUCGAUGCAACGCGAAGAACCUUACCAAGGCUUGACAUAUAGAGGAAAAGUGCAGAAAUGCACUCCCCGCAAGGUCUCUAUACAGGUGGUGCAUGGUUGUCGUCAGCUCGUGUCGUGAGAUGUUGGGUUAAGUCCCGCAACGAGCGCAACCCUCGUCCUAUGUUGCCAGCACGUAAUGGUGGGAACUCAUGGGAUACUGCCGGGGUCAACUCGGAGGAAGGUGGGGAUGACGUCAAAUCAUCAUGCCCCUUAUGUCUUGGGCUUCACGCAUGCUACAAUGGCCGGUACAGAGGGCUGCAAUACCGCAAGGUGGAGCGAAUCCCAAAAAGUGCGUCGUAGUCCGGAUUGGAGUCUGCAACUCGACUCCAUG
rnacentral:rRNA from 1 species